UAGGGAAUCUUCCGCAAUGGGCGAAAGCCUGACGGAGCAACGCCGCGUGAGUGAUGAAGGUCUUCGGAUCGUAAAACUCUGUUAUUAGGGAAGAACAAAUGUGUAAGUAACUAUGCACGUCUUGACGGUACCUAAUCAGAAAGCCACGGCUAACUACGUGCCAGCAGCCGCGGUAAUACGUAGGUGGCAAGCGUUAUCCGGAAUUAUUGGGCGUAAAGCGCGCGUAGGCGGCUUUUUAAGUCUGAUGUGAAAGCCCACGGCUCAACCGUGGAGGGUCAUUGGAAACUGGAAAACUUGAGUGCAGAAGAGGAAAGUGGAAUUCCAUGUGUAGCGGUGAAAUGCGCAGAGAUAUGGAGGAACACCAGUGGCGAAGGCGACUUUCUGGUCUGUAACUGACGCUGAUGUGCGAAAGCGUGGGGAUCAAACAGG
rnacentral:rRNA from 1 species